rnacentral:pre_miRNA from 1 species
GAUCUGUCUGUCUUCUGUAUAUACCCUGUAGAUCCGAAUUUGUGUAAGGAAUUUUGUGGUCACACAUUCGUAUCUAGGGGAAUAUGUAGUUGACAUACACACUCCGCUCU